GACGAACGCUGGCGGCGUGCUUAACACAUGCAAGUCGAGCGGUAAGGCCCUUUCAGGGGUACACGAGCGGCGAACGGGUGAGUAACACGUGGGUGACCUGCCCUCAGCUCUGGGAUAAGCCUGGGAAACCGGGUCUAAUACUGGAUAUGACUCCAUGACGCAUGUUGUGGGGUGGAAAGCCUUGUGCGGCUGAGGAUGGGCCCGNGGCCUAUCAGCUUGUUGUGGGGUGAUGGCCUACCAAGGCGACGACGGGUAGCCGGCCUGAGAGGGCG
rnacentral:rRNA from 1 species